rnacentral:rRNA from 1 species
ACCAGCAGCGAUAGCUCCUUGAAAGCACCAGUUCCGCAUGGAUUACUGAAGUUGAGCACGGUUGCGCGUGGUUAGUACCCGGAUGGGUGACCAUCUGGCCAAUAGCGUGUGCUGCUAGGU